UACGUAGGGCGCAAGCGUUGUCCGGAAUUAUUGGGCGUAAAGAGCUCGUAGGCGGUCUGUCGCGUCGGAUGUGAAAGCCCGGGGCUUAACCUCGGGUCUGCAUUCGAUACGGGCAGACUAGAGUGUGGUAGGGGAGAUCGGAAUUCCUGGUGUAGCGGUGAAAUGCGCAGAUAUCAGGAGGAACACCGGUGGCGAAGGCGGAUCUCUGGGCCAUUACUGACGCUGAGGAGCGAAAGCGUGGGGAGCGAACAGG
rnacentral:rRNA from 1 species